GAUGAACGCUGGCUACGGCUUAACACAUGCAAGUCGUGGGGAAACGGCAUUAUGUGCUUGCACAUUCUGGACGUCGACCGGCGCACGGGUGAGUAUCGCGUAUCCACCUGCCCCUUACUUGGGGAUACCCCGUUGAAAGACGGCCUAAUACCCGAUGUGUUUCAUUGACGGCAUCCGAUAUGAAACAAAGGUUUUUCCGGUAAGGGAUGGGGAUGCGUCUGAUUAGCUUGUUGGCGGGGCAACGGCCCACCAAGGCGACGAUCAGUAGGGGUUCUGAGAGGAAGGUCCCCCACAUUGGAACUGAGACACGGUCCAAACUCCUACGGGAGGCAGCAGUGAGGAAUAUUGGUCAAUGGACGCAAGUCUGAACCAGCCAAGUAGCGUGCAGGAUGACGGCCCUAUGGGUUGUAAACUGCUUUUAUGUGGGAAUAAAUUGGCGCACGUGUGCGCCAUUGCAUGUACCUCAUGAAUAAGGACCGGCUAAUUCCGUGCCAGCAGCCGCGGUAAUACGGAAGGUCCGGGCGUUAUCCGGAUUUAUUGGGUUUAAAGGGAGUGUAGGCGGUCUGUUAAGCGUGUUGUGAAAUUUAGGUGCUCAACAUUUAACUUGCAGCGCGAACUGUCAGACUUGAGUACACGCAGCGCACGCGGAAUUCAUGGUGUAGCGGUGAAAUGCUUAGAUAUCAUGAGGAACUCCGAUCGCGAAGGCAGCCUGCGGGAGUGUUACUGACGCUGAAGCUCGAAGGUGCGGGUAUCGAACAGGAGUAGAUACCCUGGUAGUCCAAGGGCGAAUUCCACAGUGGAUAUCAAGCUUAUCGAUACCGUCGACCUCGAGAGGGGGCCCGGUACCCAGCUUUGUUCCCUUUAUAGGGGUUAUUUAUGGGGCUUGGUGCCUGACUGGUUGCCUUCGUGGUUGCGUGUGUGCUGCCCUGUUGUGUGGUUUGGAUGUGUGUGUGGUGUGUGUGCCUGUGUGUGGUUUGUGCUGUUCUGUGUUGUUGUGUGUGAAUGUGUGUGUGUG
rnacentral:rRNA from 1 species